rnacentral:rRNA from 1 species
GCACAAGCGGUGGAGUAUGUUGUUUAAUUCGAAGAUACACGAAGACCUUACCAGGUCUUGACAUACCAUUGACAGGCGCAGAGAUGUGCUCUCCUUCGGGCAAUGGAUACAGGUGGUGCAUGGUUGUCGUCAGCUCGUGCCGUGAGGUGUUGGGUUAAGUCCCGCAACGAGCGCAACCCUCAUUGUUAGUUACUACCAUUCAGUUGAGGACUCUAAUGAGACUGCCAACGAUAAGUUGGAGGAAGGUGGGGAUGACGUCAAAUCAUCAUGCCCUUUAUGACCUGGGCUACAAACGUACUACAAUGGCCAAUACAAAGAGAUGCGAAGCGGUGACGUGGAGCGAACCUCAGAAAGUUGGUCUCAGUUCAGAUUGAAGUCUGCAACGCGACUUCAUGAAGGCGGAAUCGCUAGUAAUCGCGGGUCAGCAGACCGCGGUGAAUACGUUCCCGGGUUUU